rnacentral:lncRNA from 1 species
AGUGAGAAAGAUCUGGUGUUGGUGUGGGUGGGCAAGGUCAGAAAGGUAGCUAGCUCUAAGUCUGCUCGGGAUUACACUCGGGAUUACACUAGCACUAGGCGAACUGAAGGAGACUCCCAUAUUGCUGCUUCCUCAGCUUCUCUGCUUGGCUCUUAUACUUAUCAGCAGAAGAAAGAGAAGCAUGCAUUUUAGUAACAAUUAUGAAAUAUGCCCCGAUUCUAGUAGUUUAGUAAGAUAGGUCUCCCCCCUCUAUUUCGUAAGAUAAGUUGUUUCAUAAGAGAGGUCCCAGUUUAGCAAGAUAGGUCCCAUGUUUAGAAGGGAGGUCCCAGUUUAGCAAGAUGGGUCCCAUGUUUAGAAGGGAGGUCCAUUCUAUCAGUUGUUUCAGCUGCUCUCUCUAUUCGACCAGAAAAAGCAUGUAAUUGAUACCUAUAACUUCACUACUUGUUGAGUUCGCCCUUGCUUCUGAACUUAUUAUUACUGAUGCUUAUUCUCUCUACGAUCUAACUAACCCAGCUUCUUUAUCUAUGACCUACCCAGAACUACUACUCAGUCUUAUACCUAAUGCGUAGAAUGGAUUAUAUAAUUACUACUACCCAGAACUACGAAACCUACCCAGUCACCUUUCAAAAGGAGGUCAAUAAGGAAUCUGCAGUUAGAGUCUAGUAUCCUUUCCUCGCGAACUGAAAGAGACUCCACUAAAGCCUUUCUGCCUUGGCUCUAGCUGCAUAAUAAUAAUACCAUCCCUCCGUAUCUCAGGUGUGCUCUUGAGGAAGCUCCCUCGGCUGCGGAGUAAACAAGAGUGUUUCCGCUUCUGGUUUUCUUUAUUCUUCUUGUGUAUUAGUGAUGGGAAUUCGUUUAUCGAAGGCUGCGACGGCCGUAACUUAUCCGCACGAGCUCUUUCCUGCCCUCCUAAGGGUAGAUUGAGAAUAGUAGGGAUUUCGGCGCACCGAACCAGUGAUUACCAGGCUAAAACAAUAACCAUAGAGCAAGCACGGGCGCCUUGGUUUGUUUUCUAUUCUAGAUCUCUCCUCUGUUUUGCAAUUCCAUUUGUGUUGUGACGAAGACUCGCUUUUGAUUAACUAGGUGCUGAACCUCAAAGCGUAAUAUUAGAUCUAAAUGGAACUAGCGGGCCGGGAUAGAACUAGCGCUUAGUAAGCUAGGCCAAAGCCCAAAGUACCGGUUUUUACUAUGACUCUAUGGACAGUAUCGGUUUUCACUAUGACUCUAUAAUAGACAGUAUCGGUUUUCACUAUGACUCUAUAUACUCUUAUUAUAGAAAGGGGAAAGAAGCUAUAGUUAUUAUAGAAAGGGGAAAGAAACGGCGGAUUGAGCUGCUGAUCUACGACCAUAGGUGGAACUUGUCUUUGAUU